ensembl:snoRNA
GAGCUAAGCAAUUGAUCUGCUUAUCUGAAUGUGUUUCUGUGGAAAUUUAGAAAUAGCUGGCAACAGUAAUGAUGUCUUUAAAACCUUAAGUACAAGAGAUCAUUAUGGUCCCUGAAAAUAGCUACAAUA